UACGGAGGGUGCAAGCGUUAUCCGGAUUCACUGGGUUUAAAGGGAGCGCAGGCGGAUUUGUAAGUCAGUGGUGAAAGGCUUAAGCUUAACUUGGGAACUGCCAUUGAUACUAUAAGUCUUGAAUGUUGUUGAGGUUUGCGGAAUGGGUCAUGUAGCGGUGAAAUGCAUAGAUAUGACCCGGAACACCUAUUGCGAAGGCAGCAGGCUAAACAAAUAUUGACGCUGAGGCUCGAAAGCGUGGGGAGCGAACGGG
rnacentral:rRNA from 1 species